GCACUUCAUAGUCUCCGACGCACCUCCAAACCCUUUCUCCUGCUCUAGGCCCAGCGCCUUGGACGUGCACAGUAGAUCCCUCCCGGCUUCCCGGCUUCCCGUCUCGUCACCCUCUGGAAUGACGGACGCUGGGGCUUUGAUGGGCACCGGGUGAAAUGGGCAGAGUGGCGCUUACCCGGGAUGGCGGUGAAGCGGGACCGGGAGGUCAUCGUGACAAAGGGUGGCAUGAGGUACCUGGCCUUGACGCCCUCCCCGGCUAGACGGUCCAGAUUGGGGGUGUCCACAUCCUGAUCCUAGUCCCAGCGGAAGCCCUGGAAGGAGAUCAGCAGCAGCUGUGAGUGCUCUUCCUCCCUGGGACGGGGUGGCUACUCAGUAGGACAGGCGGCAGCAGCUGGAGGGCCCCGAACCCUGUCAUCCCAUGAGCACCUGUCAUGCACUCCUCACAGAGAUCGUGGGCUUCUCCCUCU
rnacentral:lncRNA from 1 species